rnacentral:rRNA from 1 species
GAUGAACGCUAGCGGCAGGCCUAACACAUGCAAGUCGAGGGGUAACAUAGGAAAGCUUGCUUUUCUGAUGACGACCGGCGCACGGGUGCGUAACGCGUAUACAACCUACCUUUUGGAGGGGAAUAGCCCAGAGAAAUUUGGAUUAAUACCCCAUAGUAUAUAGGAAUCUCCUGAUUUUUAUAUUAAACAUUUAUGGCCAUUAGAUGGGUAUGCGUCCUAUUAGCUAGUUGGUGUGGUAACGGCACACCAAGGCUACGAUAGGUAGGGGUCCUGAGAGGGAGAUCCCCACACUGGUACUGAGACACGGACCAGACUCCUACGGGAGGCAGCAGUGAGGAAUAUUGGACAAUGGGCGGGAGCCUGAUCCAGCCAUGCCGCGUGCAGGAAGACUGCCCUAUGGGUUGUAAACUGCUUUUACAGAGGAAGAACCACCCCCACGUGUGGGGGUUUGACGGUACUCUGCGAAUAAGGAUCGGCUAACUCCGUG